GGGGGGUCACAAGAUAAGAAUACCAAUGAUCCAUACCGAAAGAUGGGAAGGAGAGGAGAGACUGUGUGUCAAAGAGAGAGAGGGAGAGAGACAGUGUGUGAAAGAGAGAGAUGGGAGAACGAGGGAGAGAGACAGUGUGUCAAAGAGAGAGGGGGAGAGAGGGAGAGAGGCUGUGUGUCAAAGAGAGAGAGGGAGAGAGACAGUAUCAAAGAGAGAGGGAGAGAGACAGUGUGUCAGAGAGAGAGGGGGAGAGAGGGAGAGAGACAGUGUGUCAGAGAGAGAGGGAGAGACAGUGUGUCAAAGAGAGAGGGAGAGAGAUGGAGAGAGAGAGUUUGUCAGAGAGAGAGAGAGAUGGAGAGAACGAGGGAGAGAGACAGUGUGUCAAAGAAAGAGUGAGAGAGAGACGGAGAGUCAGGGAGAGAGACAGUGUGUCAUAGAGAGGGAGAGAGACAGUGUGUCAAAAAGAGGGAGAGAGAGAUGGAGAGAAUGAGGGAGACAGUGUGUCAAAGAGGGGGAGAGAGAGGGAGAGAGACAGUGUGUCAAAGAGAGAGGGAGAGAGAGAGGGAGAGAGACAGUGUGUCAAAGAGAGGGAGAGAGAGGGAGAGAGACAGUGUGUCAAAGAGAGAGGGAGAGAGAAAGGGGCAGAGACAGUGUGUGAAAGAGAGAGGGAGAGAGAGAUUGAAAGAACGAGGGAGAGACAGUGUGUCAAGAAAGAGUGAGAGAGAGACGGAGAGAGUGAGGGAGAGUCAGUGUCUCAAAGAGAGAGUGAGAGAGACAGUGUGUCAAAGAGUAAGAGGGAGAGAGACAGUGUGUCAAAGGAGACAGUGUCAAGGAGAGAGGGUGUGAGGAAAAGAAAUCUCAUUCAUUUCUAUGAAAGAAAAGACGAAGAUGCAUUCAGUGGACGGAAUUCAAAAGUUGAUGUUUUCCAUGAUGAUGACUAAGAGGAUAAAACGAAAUAACAUCCUGUUCUUCUCGAUAUUAACUAGUUCAAGGUGUUUGGCCGGUAUUUAGGAGGGCUGGAUAAACAUAAAACAUACAGUCAACUACAACAUAAAUACAGGUGCACACAUACACGACACACACACACACACGCGCACGCAGACACACACACACACACACCAGGAAUCAUCAUCAUUUGGGAUUUAUUUCAGGAAAGGAAAAAAAAGGAAACACAUAAUUUGCCUUGACCCAUGUCGUUAUGGUAACUGAUAUCAGCAACAUGAUUGUCGAAGGCAUCGGAUAUACAAGCCCCGUGAAAUUCUUCGUCAUCAUCAUCACAGCACAGUGAGAAACGUCAUCGGUAUACAAAAGAAAUCUGGAGAUUAUGGCGUUUGCAUGCAAGAAAAUGUCG
ensembl:lncRNA